rfam:Methyloceanibacter methanicus strain R-67174 contig_12, whole genome shotgun sequence.
CGGAGUGUAGCGCAGCCUGGUAGCGCACCUCGUUCGGGACGAGGGGGUCGCAGGUUCAAAUCCUGCCACUCCGA